UGGGGAAUAUUGCACAAUGGGGGAAACCCUGAUGCAGCGACGCCGCGUGAGUGAAGAAGUAUUUCGGUAUGUAAAGCUCUAUCAGCAGGGAAGAAAAUGACGGUACCUGACUAAGAAGCCCCGGCUAACUACGUGCCAGCAGCCGCGGUAAUACGUAGGGGGCAAGCGUUAUCCGGAUUUACUGGGUGUAAAGGGAGCGUAGGUGGUUCGGUAAGUCAGAUGUGAAAGCCCGGGGCUCAACCCCGGGAUUGCAUUUGAAACUAUCGUACUAGAGUGCAGGAGAGGUAAGUGGAAUUCCUAGUGUAGCGGUGAAAUGCGUAGAUAUUAGGAGGAACACCAGUGGCGAAGGCGGCUUACUGGACUGUAACUGACACUGAGGCUCGAAAGCGUGGGGAGCAAACA
rnacentral:rRNA from 1 species